GAUGAACGCUGGCGGCGUGCCUAAUACAUGCAAGUCGAGCGAACAGAUAAGGAGCUUGCUCCUUUGACGUUAGCGGCGGACGGGUGAGUAACACGUGGGUAACCUACCUAUAAGACUGGAAUAACUCCGGGAAACCGGGGCUAAUGCCGGAUAAUAUUUAGAACCGCAUGGUUCUAAAGUGAAAGAUGGUUUUACUAUCACUUAUAGAUGGACCCGCGCCGUAUUAGCUAGUUGGUGGGGUAAUGGCUUACCAAGGCAACGAUACGUAGCCGACCUGAGAGGGUGAUCGGCCACACUGGAACUGAGACACGGUCCAGACUCCUACGGGAGGCAGCAGUAGGGAAUCUUCCGCAAUGGGCGAAAGCCUGACGGAGCAACGCCGCGUGAGUGAUGAAGGUCUUCGGAUCGUAAAACUCUGUUAUUAGGGAAGAACAAAUGUGUAAGUAACUGUGCACGUCUUGACGGUACCUAAUCAGAAAGCCACGGCUAACUACGUGCCAGCAGCCGCGGUAAUAC
rnacentral:rRNA from 1 species